rnacentral:rRNA from 1 species
UACGGGGGGAGCAAGCGGUGUUCGGAUUUACUGGGCGUAAAGGGCGCGUAGGCGGUAGCACAAGUCAGUUGUGAAAUCUCCGGGCUUAACUCGGAAAGGUCAACUGAUACUGUGCGACUAGAGUGCAGAAGGGGCAACUGGAAUUCUCGGUGUAGCGGUGAAAUGCGUAGAUAUCGAGAGGAACACCUGCGGCGAAGGCGGGUUGCUGGGCUGACACUGACGCUGAGGCGCGAAAGCCAGGGGAGCGAACGGG